GAGAGAGAGAGAGAGAGAGAGAGAGAGCGCGCGCUUGGGUCUGAGUGUCUGCCUGCCUCUCUCUCUCUCUCUCUCUCUCUCUC